rnacentral:rRNA from 1 species
UACGGAGGGGGCUAGCGUUGUUCGGAAUUACUGGGCGUAAAGCGCGCGUAGGCGGCUUUGCAAGUCAGAGGUGAAAGCCCGGGGCUCAACCCCGGAAUUGCCUUUAAGACUGCAUCGCUAGAAUUGUGGAGAGGUAAGUGGAAUUCCGAGUGUAGAGGUGAAAUUCGUAGAUAUUCGGAAGAACACCAGUGGCGAAGGCGACUUACUGGACACAUAUUGACGCUGAGGUGCGAAAGCGUGGGGAGCAAACAGG